rnacentral:rRNA from 1 species
GCCAGCAACGUGAAACUUACAUGGUUGAGUGAAACUCUUCGUAUCCUCCCCUGCGGAGGGAUCAUUACCGAGUUUACAACUCCCAAACCCAAUGUGAACGUUACCAAACUGUUGCCUCGGCGGGGUCACGCCCCGGGUGCGUCGCAGCCCCGGAACCAGGCGCCCGCCGGAGGAACCAACCAAACUCUUUCUGUAGUCCCCUCGCGGACGUAUUUCUUACAGCUCUGAGCAAAAAUUCAAAAUGAAUCAAAACUUUCAACAACGGAUCUCUUGGUUCUGGCAUCGAUGAAGAACGCAGCGAAAUGCGAUAAGUAAUGUGAAUUGCAGAAUUCAGUGAAUCAUCGAAUCUUUGAACGCACAUUGCGCCCGCCAGUAUUCUGGCGGGCAUGCCUGUCCGAGCGUCAUUUCAACCCUCGAACCCCUCCGGGGGAUCGGCGUUGGGGAUCGGGACCCCUCACACGGGUGCCGGCCCCUAAAUACAGUGGCGGUCUCGCCGCAGCCUCUCCUGCGCAGUAGUUUGCACAACUCGCACCGGGAGCGCGGCGCGUCCACGUCCGUAAAACACCCAACUUUCUGAAAUGUGACCUCGGAUCAGGUAGGAAUACCCGCGAACUAG